rnacentral:rRNA from 1 species
AGCUCGUGUCGUGAGAUGUUGGGUUAAGUCCCGCAACGAGCGCAACCCCUAUUACUAGUUGCCAGCAGGUUAAGCUGGGCACUCUAGAAAGACAGUUAGGGAUAACCUAAAGGAAGGUGGGGAUGACGUCAAAUCAUCAUGCCCCUUAUGCUUAGGGCUACACACGUGCUACAAUGGCUAUAACAAAGAGAAGCGAAUUCGUGAGGAAGAGCAAACCUGAAAAAAAUAGUCUAAGUUCGGAUUGUAGGCUGAAACUCGCCUACAUGAAGCCGGAGUUACUAGUAAUCGCAGAUCAGAAUGCUGCGGUGAAUGCGUUCCCGGGUCUUGUACACACCGCCCGUCACACCAUGGGAGCUGAGGGCACCCAAAGUCGGUGAUCUAACGCAAGAAGAAGCCGCCUAAGGUGAACUUAGUGACUGGGGUGAAGUCGUAACAAGGUAGCCGUAUCGGAAGGUGCGGCUGGAUCACCUCCUUUCUAAGGAGA